AACGAACGCUGGCGGCAUGCCUAACACAUGCCAGUCGAACGAGACCUUCGGGUCUAGUGGCGCACGGGUGCGUAACGCGUGGGAAUCUGCCCUUGGGUUCGGAAUAACAGUGAGAAAUUACUGCUAAUACCGGAUGAUGUCUUCGGACCAAAGAUUUAUCGCCCAGGGAUGAGCCCGCGUAGGAUUAGCUAGUUGGUGGGGUAAUGGCCUGCCAAGGCGACGAUCCUUAGCUGGUCUGAGAGGAUGAUCAGCCACACUGGGACUGAGACACGGCCCAGACUCCUACGGGAGGCAGCAGUGGGGAAUAUUGGACAAUGGGCGCAAGCCUGAUCCAGCAAUGCCGCGUGAGUGAUGAAGGCCUUAGGGUUGUAAAGCUCUUUUACCCGGGAUGAUAAUGACAGUACCGGGAGAAUAAGCACCGGCUAACUCCGUG
rnacentral:rRNA from 1 species